GAAGCUCCGAGGACCGCCACAAGGCGGGCGGAAGACAGGCGCUCUAGCAUCGAAUGUAGCCCUGAGCCGGAACUCGGGAACUCUAUGACCAACUGGGACUUCCGCUUCCGCCCCCGGACUACGAGGCGGCCGGCCUUAUACCUGCUAGGUUCACGCUGAAGAUCCAGAAUCAUGACUGACUCCAAGUACUUCACAACCAAUAAGAAGGGAGAAAUCUUUGAAUUAAAAGCUGAACUCAACAAUGAAAA
rnacentral:lncRNA from 1 species